AGUGAACGCUGGCGGCAGGCCUAACACAUACAAGUCGAACGGCAGCACAAGAGAGCUUGCUCUCUGGGUGGCGAGUGGCGGACGGGUGAGGAAUGCAUCGGAAUCUGCCCAUUUGUGGGGGAUAACCUCGGGAAACCGGGACUAAUACCGCAUACGACCUACGGGUGAAAGCAGGGGAUCUUCGGACCUUGCGCAGAUGGAUGAGCCGAUGCCGGAUUAGCUAGUUGGAGGGGUAAAGGCCCACCAAGGCGGCGAUCCGUAGCUGGUCUGAGAGGAUGAUCAGCCACACUGGGACUGAGACACGGCCCAGACUCCUACGGGAGGCAGCAGUGGGGAAUAUUGGACAAUGGGCGCAAGCCUGAUCCAGCCAUGCCGCGUGUGUGAAGAAGGCCUUCGGGUUGUAAAGCACUUUUGUUGGGAAAGAAAAGCAGCCGGUUAAUACCCGGUUGUCAUGACGGUACCCAAAGAAUAAGCACCGGCUAACUUCGUG
rnacentral:rRNA from 1 species